rnacentral:rRNA from 1 species
AAUCAACGCUGGCGGCGUGCCUCAGACAUGCAAGUCGAACGCGAAAGUCCCCUUCGGGGGACAAGUAGAGUGGCGCACGGGUGAGUAACACGUAGGUAAUCUACCUUCGGAUGGGGAAUAACAAUCGGAAACGGUUGCUAAUACCGCAUAAUGCAGCGGCACCUAAUGGUGACAGUUGUUAAAGCGGGGGAUCGAAAGACCUCGCGUCUGAAGAGGAGCCUGCGGCGGAUUAGCUAGUUGGUAAGGUAAUGGCUUACCAAGGCGACGAUCCGUAACCGGCCUGAGAGGGCGGUCGGUCACACUGACACUGACAUACGGGUCAGACUCCUACGGGGAGGCAGCAGUCGGGAAUUUUGGGCAAUGGGCGAAAGCCUGACCCAGCAACGCCGCGUG